GAUGAACGCUGGCGGCGUGCCUAAUACAUGCAAGUCGAGCGAACAGAUGGGGAGCUUGCUCCUCUGACGUUAGCGGCGGACGGGUGAGUAACACGUGGAUAACCUACCUAUAAGACUGGGAUAACUUCGGGAAACCGGAGCUAAUACCGGAUAAUAUAUUGAACCGCAUUGUUCAAUAGUGAAAGACGGUUUUGCUGUCACUUAUAGAUGGAUCCGCGCCGCAUUAGCUAGUUGGUAAGGUAACGGCUUACCAAGGCAACGAUGCGUAGCCGACCUGAGAGGGUGAUCGGCCACACUGGAACUGAGACACGGUCCAGACUCCUACGGGAGGCAGCAGUAGGGAAUCUUCCGCAAUGGGCGAAAGCCUGACGGAGCAACGCCGCGUGAGUGAUGAAGGUCUUCGGAUCGUAAAACUCUGUUAUUAGGGAAGAACAAAUGUGUAAGUAACUAUGCACGUCUUGACGGUACCUAAUCAGAAAGCCACGGCUAACUACGUG
rnacentral:rRNA from 1 species